GUCCACGCCGUAAACGAUGUCGACUUGGAGGUUGUGCCCUUGAGGCGUGGCUUCCGGAGCUAACGCGUUAAGUCGACCGCCUGGGGAGUACGGCCGCAAGGUUAAAACUCAAAUGAAUUGACGGGGGCCCGCACAAGCGGUGGAGCAUGUGGUUUAAUUCGAUGCAACGCGAAGAACCUUACCUGGUCUUGACAUCCACGGAAGUUUUCAGAGAUGAGAAUGUGCCUUCGGGAACCGUGAGACAGGUGCUGCAUGGCUGUCGUCAGCUCGUGUUGUGAAAUGUUGGGUUAAGUCCCGCAACGAGCGCAACCCUUAUCCUUUGUUGCCAGCGGUCCGGCCGGGAACUCAAAGGAGACUGCCAGUGAUAAACUGGAGGAAGGUGGGGAUGACGUCAAGUCAUCAUGGCCCUUACGACCAGGGCUACACACGUGCUACAAUGGCGCAUACAAAGAGAAGCGACCUCGCGAGAGCAAGCGGACCUCAUAAAGUGCGUCGUAGUCCGGAUUGGAGUCUGCAACUCGACUCCAUGAAGUCGGAAUCGCUAGUAAUCGUGGAUCAGAAUGCCACGGUGAAUACGUUCCCGGGCCUUGUACACACCGCCCGUCACACCAUGGGAGUGGGUUGCAAAAGAAGUAGGUAGCUUAACCUUCGGGAGGGCGCUUACCACUUUGUGAUUCAUGACUGGGGUGAAGUCGUAACAAGGUAACCGUAGGGGAACCUGCGGUUGGAUCACCUCCUUACCUUAAAGAAGC
rnacentral:rRNA from 1 species